UAGAAGGAGCCCGUUCUUGUUCUGGAAGGUGACAGUGAUGUUACUGAAGGAUGACAAGCAUGAGAAACCACCUGAAACACUGAGCCUUUCACAAUAUUACGUUUGAACUGAUAGUUCGGCAUUUAUUUUUAAAAUGUUUUGAUUAAAGGUCAUUGGCUUUACCAAGCUAAGACUGAAAAGUUCCAGAUAGACAGACAAAUUUGGCAAUAAUUCAAAUAAAGCCAAUGAGAGUAGGCAAGUUCACUGAAACUCUGUAGUGAGGACAAUUAAUUUCUUAAAAAAAAAAAAAAAAAAGCCNGGNGGNGGNGGCGCACGUCUUUAAUCCCAGCACAGAGAAACCCUGUCUCGAAAAACCAAAAAAAAAAGAAAGGUGAUAGGACUAAGGAGACGGUUCAGAGGUUUAAAGCACUUGCUCUUACAGAGGACCAGGGUUUAGUUCCAACACCUUCAUCAUGGUUCAUAACCAUCAGACACGCAGGCAAGACCCUCAGAAAGUAAAUCUUUAAAGGAAUCGAAUAAAAUUCUAUAUAGUUAUAAACAUUUAUGAAAAUAAACUAUUUUAUUACACAAAAAAAUAUUAAAUAAUCCCACUACUGAAAAUUUUUUUUGUAAAAGUGUAUGUCAAGUAUAUAUUUGUUGGAAAAUCCCUACACUGUGUCUGUUGAGGGUCUAUGAGCAAAAUGUGUUAAACUUUACUUUUUAAGAAACUGAGGAAUUAAAGUCUAACUUUGAUCAGUUUAAAAGACCAUGAAAUUUACAUGGUUUUAAUUUUUCAAGUGAAAAGCCAAAUAAUGGAAAUUGGGGUGUGGGGUGCCAGUCUCCAGGUUCAAGAAACACUAAGACAAAGAUCUUCCUAAUAAAAGAACUGUAAUGAAAGAAAUUUAGCCAGUUGUAGUGGCACACACUUGUAAUUCCAGCACUUGGGAGGCAGAGGCAGGCAGAUUUCUGUGAGUUCAAGGCCACUCUGGUCUGCAAGAGUUCCAGGCGGCCAGGACUGUUACAAAGAGAAACUCUGUCUCAAAAAAACAAAUUAAAUAGACAGAAAUUUGGAAACCAGAAAGACAAAUUGUCUAAAACUACAACUGGCAUUUCAAAGGAGAUUUAGCAAGAGAUUCCAGAAGAUGAACAAAAAUAAAUUUAAUUGACUCAUUCUUAAGUAUGUUUCUUCAAAAGUAAAUUGGGGAGAGAAAAUAAUCACACAGAUUAUUGAAAUCAGGAUUCCAGGUUUUUGUAACAGUUCAGUAGUUAAAAGCACUUGUGGGCCAGAGAGAGACCUUGGCACUGACUGCUCUUCCUAAUCCUGAGUUCAAAUCCCAGCAACCACAUGGUGGCUCCCAACCAUCUGUAAUGAGAUCUGACUCCCUCUUCUGGAGUGUCUGAAGACAGCUACAGUGUACUUACAUAUAAUAAGUAAAUCUUAAAAAA
ensembl:processed_transcript